AGCGAACGCUGGCGGCAGGCCUAACACAUGCAAGUCGAACGAACUCUUCGGAGUUAGUGGCGGACGGGUGAGUAACACGUGGGAACGUGCCUUUUGGUUCGGAAUAACUCAGUGAAACUUGUGCUAAUACCGAAUGUGCCCUUCGGGGGAAAGAUUUAUCGCCAUUAGAGCGGCCCGCGUCUGAUUAGCUAGUUGGUGAGGUAACGGCUCACCAAGGCGACGAUCAGUAGCUGGUCUGAGAGGAUGACCAGCCACACUGGGACUGAGACACGGCCCAGACUCCUACGGGAGGCAGCAGUGGGGAAUCUUGCGCAAUGGGCGAAAGCCUGACGCAGCCAUGCCGCGUGAAUGAUGAAGGUCUUAGGAUUGUAAAAUUCUUUCACCGGGGACGAUAAUGACGGUACCCGGAGAAGAAACCCCGGCUAACUUCGUG
rnacentral:rRNA from 1 species